rnacentral:rRNA from 1 species
UACGGGGGGAGCAAGCGUUGUUCGGAUUUACUGGGCGUAAAGGGCGCGUAGGCGGCCACUGCAAGUCAGUUGUGAAAUCUCCGGGCUUAACCCGGAAAGGUCAGCCGAUACUGCGGGGCUAGAGUGCAGAAGGGGCAACUGGAAUUCUCGGUGUAGCGGUGAAAUGCGUAGAUAUCGAGAGGAACACCUGCGGCGAAGGCGGGUUGCUGGGCUGACACUGACGCUGAGGCGCGAAAGCUAGGGGAGCGAACGGG